UUUAGUUGAAAUUUGUUUGCACCGCAUUUGUGAGUGAAGCACUUGCAGUUAGAAGUUUGUAUGGCAGUGUGUUGUUGUAGUGCACUUUUGGCCUAACUGCUCGCGGUGCUGGUGCCAAGCUAACGACUUAAGCUUCCAGGUAGCUUCCUAAAAUUUAAUUUUUUAUCGGUUUAUGCGUCGAACCUUUUAAAAAGGAUCCUCGAGCAGAACGCAAAAAAGGCCAGAUCGACAGUUUUAAAAAAGGCAUCCAGCGGAGGUUGAAAAAUUUGAAUCGCAUGGAGGUGGCGCAAAAUUAAUCACCCUACCGGCAGAUGCGGUCAUACCUAAGCCAUUCCCUGGUAUGGGACAACCACCAUUAAAGAGCAGUUUGGAAGUGAAGCUAAGAGACGUGAGCUGCCACUUAGUUCAAGCAACUCAUAAUCGUCUUUAAGGAAAAACUAAGAAUGCGCACGACCAUUCUCACAGAUUGCUUAGUCAUCUGCACAGCGUUGAGAUAUGGUCCACUGAUUCUUAUGUUUCAGCGACCAGUCUCCUGAGACUCCAGUACACUUUCUUAUCGAAGGUGAGGCCAUAGCGCAAAGAAGGAUGACACAUCUCGGGCGCAUGCAGAGGAAGAAAGGAAAGGUUUAUUAGAAAAACUGGAUUUGGAUGAGGUACUGUGAUGAGUGAAGGGCACAAAAGACCAUGAGGUCAUUUUCAUUCCUUCGGUUAUUCACAGCGUCGUAUGUCAAUCAUGAUUGACACUUGUAACCUAGACAGCUGCAAUAUGGCACACAAACAAUCAAGCAAUGGAGUGCGUUAAGGUCAAAAUAAAGAUUCUCAUGAAUCAAAAACAUUUUGUUUGUUUGCUUGGCAAAAAAAAGUUUAAAAAUUUAUUCAAAAACAUUUUUUUUAGUUAAUUUUUUUUAUUUUUAUUUUAGUUUUUAAUUAAUUCUUUUUUAAUUUUCUUAUAUUUUUAAUUAAUUUAUUUCUAAUUUUUUUAUAAUAGGACUAUGAAUAAGUUCGUGCGGUUUUUUUUUCGAAAUUUGAAACUUUAUUGACGUAAAAUGGUUACAAAUUUAAUAUUCAAAAUAUUGUCCAUCGCUUACUACUACUUUUUCCCAUCUUUCUGGCAAUUCACGGAUUCCCUUUGUGAAAAAUUCGGUCGGUUUUGCCGCAAUCCACGAAUCGAUCCAUUUUUUGACUUCAUCGUAAUUACGGAAGUGCUGGUCAGCCAGGCCAUGUUGCAUCGAUCGGAAGAGAUAGUAAUCGGAUGGCGCAAGGUCUGGACUAUACGGCGGGUGGGGUAGGACAUCCCAUUUGAGCGUUUCUAAGUAUGUUUUGACCACUUGUGCAACAUGUGGCCGAGCAUUGUCAUGUUGCAAAAUAACUUUGUCGUGUCUAUCGGCGUAUUGCGGCCG